rnacentral:rRNA from 1 species
AGAGUUUGAUCCUGGCUCAGGACGAACGCUGGCGGCGUGCCUAACACAUGCAAGUCGAGCGGGGAAUAUUGAGUAGCUUGCUACUUGGUAUUUCUAGCGGCGGACGGGUGAGUAACGCGUGAGCAACCUGCAUUUAUCAGGGGGAUAACGCAUCGAAAGAUGUGCUAAUACCGCGUAAGACCACAGCUUCACAUGGAGCAGAGGUCAAAGGAGCAAUCCGGAUAAAGAUGGGCUCGCGUCCGAUUAGCUAGUUGGUGAGAUAACAGCCCACCAAGGCGACGAUCGGUAGCCGACCUGAGAGGGUGAUCGGCCACAUUGGAACUGAGAUACGGUCCAGACUCCUACGGGAGGCA